rnacentral:rRNA from 1 species
AUGGUUUCUCACCACCGUUCCAGAUCAUUGCACCGCCAAGCAAAUCUUAUCCAUCCCUCCUUCCGGCGUGCACCGCGAGAAAGGACAGCAGGCCUCCGGAACCCCGCCUCUCGUGAUCCUGUACGGGAGAGGGGCGAUCAGGUUUUUGAGGAGCGCACUCGCACGACUGCUGGCAGCGAUGACUUCGUGAACGACGACUUCUUCCCCGACCUCGGCAACCUCGUCCUCGACGACAUGGGCGACAACGUCAACACCGGCGAUGCUGCACCCGCUGCAUCGUAUGUGAUUCUAUCCUUCCUGUUCGAGAUCGUGGUAGAAUUCAUGCUUCUAGUAUGUGCCCUAGACGUGAUAUGUUCAUAUGCUAUGCUAGUUCGCAUGAUUAGUUUAAUCUCUGCUGCUGUGGUCAUGAUUUAUCUUCUGUUUAUUCGGAUUAAAUCUCGUAGUAAUUUGCUCAUAUUUCCAACAAUCCAAAAACCUGAUUAUAGGCAAUUUACUCCGAGUGGUUUUACUGCGCAUCUGAAGCCGCCUGCCUUUAAGGGGGCGCAAUAUAAGAGGUGGCGCAUGAGAGCAGUCUACUGGUUUUGGACCAUGGGCUGCUAUGAUGCCACCAAGGGCAAGCCUGAGGGCGAUCUUAAUCCAGCACAGCUGGAAGCUUUUGAGAAGAUCGAUACCCUCUUUGAAGGCGCUCUUCUGAGUAUUCUUGAUGACUCCAUUGUGGAUUCGUAUAUGUCGUUUGACAACAGCAAGGACAUGUGGGCUGCGCUCGAGGCCAAGUUUGGUGGCUCGGACGCCGGCAGCGAGUUGUACGUCAUGGAGCAAUUCUAUGACUACAAGAUGACUGAUGAGCGCCCUGUUGUACAGCAGGCUCAUGAGAUACAGUCGCUCGCAAAAGAACUUGAGUACUUCAAGUGUGUGUUGCUGGACAAAUUUGUUGCCGCAGGCAUCAUUGCCAAGCUUCCACCUUCAUGGAACAAUUUUGCUACUUCCCUGAAACACAAGAGACAGGAGUUUUCCGUUACGGAUCUCAUUGGUACUCUUGAUGUUGAAGAGAAGGCGAGAGCAAAGGACACACGUGCUCGAGUUGCUGAGGGAGGUUCUAGUGCCCACAUGGUACAGAAGAAGAACUCCCAGCCCAACAAGUUCAAAAACAAUAAGAACAAAACUCAGGGCAAAGGCAAGUUUGAUACAAAGAACAAGCCAUCACAUUCUACUAACUUCAAGAAGAAUUCUCAUCAGAAGGGGAAGGGACUUUGCCAUGUUUGCGGUGAUCCUAAUCACUGGGCUCUGAAGUGUCCUAACCGCUUUGAGGAGCGUGAACAUGAGAAGAGCGGCAAAUCCGCUAAUGUUGUCAUCGGUGAUACUGAUAUGAAGGAAUCAGGGUACGGUAUUUUUCCUACCAUCCUUUCAGUAUUUCAAUCCCAUGAUUGGUUAAUUGACACCGGUGCCAAUGUACAUGUUUGUGCUGACGCCUCCAUGUUUUCUUCUUACCAGGCAACAGGGACUUCACCCAUGCUAAUGGGGAACGGGUCACAUGCCAUCGUUCGAGGUUCGAUCUGA